rnacentral:rRNA from 1 species
UACGUAGGGUGCGAGCGUUAAUCGGAAUUACUGGGCGUAAAGCGUGCGCAGGCGGUUCGUUAAGUCUGUUGUGAAAUCCCCGAGCUCAACUUGGGAAUUGCAAUGGAUACUGGCAGGCUGGAGUAUGGUAGAGGAAGGUGGAAUUCCCGGUGUAGCAGUGAAAUGCGUAGAGAUCGGGAGGAACACCAGUGGCGAAGGCGGCCUUCUGGACCAAUACUGACGCUCAUGCACGAAAGCGUGGGGAGCAAACAGG